AGCAGCAGCAGCAGCAGAGCAGUGUCACUCUGGUGUGUCUGGCCCAAGGGGGCUUCCCCUCAAGCUGGAGGCUGGGCUGGAAGGUGGGGGGCAGCAGCAGGUCCUCAGACGUGUCAAACAGCCUGGAGGUCCUGGGGAGGGACGGCCUCUACAGCUGGAGCAGCACCCUGAGCCUCCCUGCAGACCAGUGGAGGAAGGCGGGCUCAGUCAGCUGUGAGGCCAAUCAGAGUGGACAGAGUCCUGUCACUCAAAGCCUGGACCCUGACAGCUGCUCAGAGUAGAACUUCAGCACAACUUCAUGAUGCUGCUUCACUCAUGGAGGUCUGGGUGAAGCUACACGUCUCCUCUGCUCUCAGAUUUCAGCUCAAUCAUGACUUUUUAUCUUCAGACAGCUUUCUGACAUUCUGCUUGCUUUUGUUUCAGAAUAAAUCCUGAUAUUCAAUUU